rnacentral:misc_RNA from 1 species
GAAAGAUCGAUUCCGACAAACUAAGUAUGGACGAUCAAAUCCAUAUCCACCUUGUGUGCACUCAUUGACCGUUUGCUUUGGCAGGAAGGAGCCUUCGAUCCGGAGGCGCUGAGGCGUCAUUUGUUUGUGACAGUCUCGGGCCUGCCAGAGUUUUUUUUUCCUGAACUCACGCCUAUUUUUUGCUUGGACUGAACCUUUGUUCCGAUUCUCUUGUGGGAUCGGUCAAACUAAAUAAAAAAAAUA